CGAGUGCUGGAAAGCGUCCCAGCUGUUGAGACAGCUGCAGUUGGGGACAGCAGUCCAGUUGUGGUUCCAGUUUCAGCUGCAAAAGAACUUCCAGCUACAACUGAUGCAGUGCCUCCUACAGCUGUGUCACCUGUGAGUGAAGUUCAGCCAGACAAGGAUGCAACAGAUGGACCCACAUCACCACCUGCUGGGAAAAGGCUGACCAUCUACAUGUUGGAAUCAUGUCCUGUAGAUGAACAAGUCCAGAUGGCGCAUGAUCACUUGUUGCCUCUUGUGGAGAAAAUCCACCCAAACUUGGCAAAUAAGAUCACCUGGAUGCUUGCAGGGAACCAGAACA